GAUCAUAUGCUGAUAAUUCAUGUUUGGAAAGAUAUAGAGAAGAUUACCAUGGCCCCUGCUCAAGGAUGACACGCACAAAUCGAGAAAUAGUUCAAAUUUUU